GAGUUUGAUCAUGGCUCAGAUUGAACGCUGGCGGCAUGCCUAACACAUGCAAGUCGAACGCGAAAGGUUCCUUCGGGAAUCGAGUAGAGUGGCGGACGGGUGAGUAACGCGUAGGAAUCUACCCAGUAGUGGGGGACAACUCGGGGAAACCCGAGCUAAUACCGCAUACGCCCUACGGGGGAAAGGGGGCCUCUUCUUGAAAGCUCCCGCUAUUGGAUGAGCCUGCGUCGGAUUAGCUGGUUGGUGGGGUAAAGGCCUACCAAGGCGACGAUCCGUAGCUGGUCUGAGAGGACGAUCAGCCACACUGGGACUGAGACACGGCCCAGACUCCUACGGGAGGCAGCAGUGGGGAAUAUUGGACAAUGGGCGCAAGCCUGAUCCAGCAGCCGCGGUAAUACG
rnacentral:rRNA from 1 species